AGCCUAAUCGAAACACACUGAUGGCACGGCAAAGGCUGAAAAUCAAUGAAGACCAUAAUCUUUUGUUUCCACCAACUGCACAAGAUCGAAUAAAGCCUGACGCACACUGCGCAAGCUUAUCACAAAUGGCACAGAAGAAGAAAAACAGGAUAGAUCGGACGCGACUUUUCCUGGACUAAAACACUGGUGAGCAACAGCUGUGUGGGAGACGUUACCUGUACAUUACGUCUACACGAGGACCACACUUUCCAACAUGAGUUCAGAUAUCCCUUCAAGAUAAGAUGGUUGAAAUGAAUCACCCUCAACUGUCAAGGUCCCGAUAGAGAUUGCAGAGAAUAUUACGGAGAUGAAGGUAGAUUGUUUCCUGGAUUGG